rnacentral:rRNA from 1 species
UAGGGAAUCUUCGGCAAUGGACGGAAGUCUGACCGAGCAACGCCGCGUGAGUGAAGAAGGUUUUCGGAUCGUAAAGCUCUGUUGUAAGAGAAGAACGAGUGUGAGAGUGGAAAGUUCACACUGUGACGGUAUCUUACCAGAAAGGGACGGCUAACUACGUGCCAGCAGCCGCGGUAAUACGUAGGUCCCGAGCGUUGUCCGGAUUUAUUGGGCGUAAAGCGAGCGCAGGCGGUUAGAUAAGUCUGAAGUCAAAGGCUGUGGCUUAACCAUAGUAGGCUUUGGAAACUGUUUAACUUGAGUGCAAGAGGGGAGAGUGGAAUUCCAUGUGUAGCGGUGAAAUGCGUAGAUAUAUGGAGGAACACCGGUGGCGAAAGCGGCUCUCUGGCUUGUAACUGACGCUGAGGCUCGAAAGCGUGGGGAGCAAACAGGAUUAGAUACCCUGGUAGUCCACGCUGUAAACGAUGAGUGCUAGGUGUUAGACCCUUUCCGGGGUUUAGUGCCGUAGCUAACGCAUUAAGCACUCCGCCUGGGGAGUACGACCGCAAGGUUG